rnacentral:lncRNA from 1 species
AAUACUGACAGAGUGCUGACGAGGCAUUAACGAAGCAUGUGCAGCUCGUGGACUACUUAGAGUGUAGCACGUGGGCGUGAGUAGAUUUCAUGCGCCGAUUGCUAGGUGGCGUGCGGGUGUGUGUGUGUGUGCGAGGUUUGGGUCGCAGUUUGAACUAGGAGAUUCGUCUCAUCGAGACGAACAUGAUGGUGUUCUCAAAAAAUAUUUUAAAACACUUGUAAUAAACUGAGACUCUAUCUGACUCUGAUAUUAUGCUCAUAAUUAACAAAAACCACACACAGAAACAUUUACACACACAAAGACAGACAAGGUUCGACAAAUUGCCUACUUCUUCGGGUGGUAGCGAUGUCAGUAUAUAGAGAAAAAUUUACAAAUUACAAGUUUUUGACUCUCUCUCAAGCUUUCUGAUUUACUCUCACUUACCCACACCAUUAUAUAGCCUAUAUGUAAGGUAUAUAUAGGAUGAGAUAUACAUAUUUCAGAAAGCCAUAGCGACUUUCUUGGAGCUCAAAAGCUCCAUCGGAAGGGAGCUACAUUGGAAAUGAUUGUUCUUGAAAAUGGAUGAAUCAAACUCUUGAAACCAAAACAUGAAGUUAAAGCCAAUUUCCAACGGUAAUUAAAUGCUAAAUGCAAUAUGUAAUAUUAUUAACUAGAAAAUGAGCAAGUUUGCAAAAAUUUAUUUGUGGGUAGUAGAUCAACUUGCACCAAAUAAGUUUAAAAAUGACAAAAUUUCAGGUCUAGUAUUUUAAUGUAACAAUAAACCAAUCAUAAUCUCUUUCUGAGAUUUGAAAUAUGAUUGGGAUCCGCUAGCUUUAGUUGACAAGUUGAUGGAGAACUUGUAGUCGCCCGUUACAUGGACGGCUUCUAUGGUUGCUGAUUCGAUUUGGGCCUGAAUGGACAUUGGUGGAAUGGGUUAAAAAGAUCCAUAUUUGAUGUAAAAUGAUAGAUGAUCAAUACUCAUCGCUUUACUAUAACUAGCGAUGAAUUUCGGCAAUAUUUUGUCGUUUAGACGGAAAAAAUUGUCAUUUUUUGAAAUAUUUGACAGGUGAAUAACUCAUGAUUUAAUUCCGAUUUAUGCGGGAUUUGUGGGAGAGUUUUUUUUAUCCUUAUAGUUUCUAGAUUUGAGUUUAACUCAAAUCUUUCAGUAUUUUUUCUUUUUUGGUAAAUUUUAAUUUUCCUAAAUAAUUGCUUGAUUAACAAGCAAUUACCUAUCUUUAUUUCUUUACUAAGCUCAGUUAGGGUUUAUUAGCACUGUAAAUACAAUGUAAUGCCUCUUGGCUAAUUAAUUGAGUUUGACUAAUAAUAGUGAGUUGAGAGAGCAUAUUUUCUUUUUCAUAUUUUUUUGAUAUUCAUAGGAUUCGACAGAAUUAUAAAAUGGAUUGUUAUUUUUUCUUGCUUUCAAAUCUAUUCUUCACAACGUUUCACGCUGCAUCACAAGUCAAAAUAGUUAAAAUGUACAUUCUUAUACUCUAGUCUCUAGAGAAGCAACAUCUAUUUCCUAGCUAAUGCAUCUAGUUGCAUCACUACCACUCAUUGUUUUUUUGUCUUUUAAGUUAUAUUAAUUGUGCAUGUUUUGGGGAUCAUAUAAGUUGAAAAACCCAAAUAAGUACACCAUGUAAGCCUUAACCAAUAAUAUCUCCACUUUGCACUCUCAAUUAUAUAAACCUUGCAAUCAACCUUGACAUCCAACAUUUAUCUAUAAAAUAGACAAAAAAUUCCAGUUAAGUUAUCACGUGUUGACCCGACUCAGAUCCAGGGGCAAUCCAUGUUAACACCAUAAAAAAAAUCCAAGUUUGAAUUGUGUUCUACCUUGUUCUCUCUCCGUUUAUUGUUUGACAAAAAAUAUUGAAUUUGCAUAUUUUUUAUGAUAUUAACAUGGGUGGUCCAAUCAACAUGUGGUGUGGCAAUUUUAGUCCACUUUGUAGAUGGACGUUGGAUGUUGGGAUUGAUUACAACGGUUUAUAUAGUUGCGUGUACAAAUUAAAAAACAUAUUAAUUAGGAAAAAAAUGAGAAUUGUUCAAUACUUUGAGGGGACAAAUUGCAGUUUUCCCAGCUCUAGAAAUACCAUUGGAGGAGUACCACGGAAAUCACACAUCAAACUUUUACAGCUCUAGAAAUACCAUUGGAGAAGAAGGAUCCCGGAAAUCACACAUCAAACUUUUUAUUGUCUAAAAAAAUUUGCUUUUUCAAUCUUUUUAAGAAGAUUUGGGCUCGAUGUCCAUGGUGCCCAAUUCUUAAUUGAGUAUUCCUAUUCAAAAUAAAAAUUUAAGCUCAAAUCGAUUAUAUGCUAAACUUUAAUUGCUUACCAUGUAAGCCCCGUCAACUACCAACCAAUCAGCAUGAAUAAACAUUGAACCGCGUAUCAAAAAUCUUGAUGCCAAAAUUUUAUUUUGCCAAUUCAGACAAUACUCUUAUUACUCUUAUAUGCAUCUUUCCCUAUUCUGUCACCAUACCCUCCAACCACCUCACCACCACUACUAGGCCAUCACCUUCAGCGGUUGAUUGUUAUUUUCCGGUCAACCAUUGACAAUUUUUUGGACGGGCCACCGACUUAUUUUCUGGUUAUCGCUAACUUUUUUUAUGGCAGCACGAUUUGUUCAAAUACUUUCCAAAAACUUUCUAGCAACGGUUUUUCACGUGACUACCCUUAGCAACUUUUUCUAGAUAAGUGGCUUGCUGUUAGACCGGUAGCUUUCCAACAUGUACCGGCAGACAGACAACACUAGAUCGAGAUAGUUAAAUUCUAUAAGCAGAGAAUUUCAUUGUUCAUUCAUCAAUCACAUAUACCAUUAAAAAAAUUUUAAUUUAACAAGAAAACAAAAUUUGUGUACAUGAAAGGGGUAGGUGUAGAACCUGGUACUUAAGCUAGGGAUAUAACCCUGGACUCCUCCCAACUUCAAUUAACUCCUAAAGUUGUUGCAAGUACGCUACAGUGUUCCAUGUAAGAAGCAAGUAAUUGUUAGUAACGCAAAUAUAUAAAGGAGGAGCUAGUUGCACCACUCAAGAAUGGAGUCAAGAGGUGGCGGCUGGAGGCGACCGUCUGAAAUAUUCAAAUUGUAUAUAUUUGACACCUUGAUAUUGAAAUUAAGAUUGCAUUUUCUACAUAUACAUGUUACAAAUUUUAUAUUUUGUAUGUAUAUUUAUCUUUCCAAAUGUCAAAAUCAUGCUUCGGUCCCUAGCACCACUUGUUGAAGUAUGACAAAUCCUUGUCCCCUUGACACUUCAUAGUUUAAAUUUCAAAUGCUUUGAACAUGGCAUUGGAAAACACGUAGUAAUUGACACGGCAUUGGAAAAAUAAAACAACACCAAAAAAAACCAUGCUAGAAUUAAGGGCCCCCCAAGCUACUUUUAAAUGCAAAAAAAGAAUUCAAAGACGCCUAUCGUGUGAAUUAACACUGAAUAUGAUGUUUGUCAAAAUAUCUCAAGAGCAGAUUUUUAGAUUUUGGCUUUCCAAAAGCUGUGCCAUCUUGUUUGGCAUACAUUUUGCUUCUUAUUAUGAACAAAAAAUAACUGAGAAUAUCUAGCGUAAAACUAAUCAACAGGAAAUAAACUUUAAGAUAUCUACUGUAUAACUAAAUAAUAGGAUAUCGGAGGUCAUGGAUAUUGAACUAUGGUUGAAGCAGACACAGGAAUCAAGUGUUAUAUGUAGAAGUUUCUUUGAAAUAAGCUGGAUUUCGAAAACAAGAUAAAAAUUGAGUUUUGAUUUUUACACUCUUUUUUUUUUAUUCUACACUCCAAAAUUUAUCUCUAUUAAGUAAAAUUACAAAAAUGUCCUCUUUUAUAUUGACUUUUGAGGAUACUUUUAUAAUUUUACUUAAUAGAGAGAAAAUUUAGAGUGUAAAAUGUAAAAAAAAAGAGUGUAGAAAUCAAAACCCUAAGAAUUUUCUCCAAAAAAUGGCAGCCUACAUCAUACCUCCAAAUGUUUCAGAAAAAACUUAUGUAAUAUCACACACUGAGCUACAUCAUAUGCAAUCUAUCCAACACUGAGCCACUGAAUAUCGAAGUACAGGAGCAAAAAAUAUCAUAAAGACUACAAGUCAAAACACAUCUUACAGGUGCCGAUGACCACAGUACCACCACAAGCAUAGGCUACAGCCACCGUUAUCAUCACCUUAUAAUAGCUUGCACUAUGAAACUCAAGAACAUAAAGGAAACAUGAAAACUGAGCAACUGUAAACACAUAGAACAUGUAAACAAAAUUAAUGCCAUGGACAUUGAAGAUCUAGAGCUUGCAAAACAAAAACCAAAUCAGGCACUCAACAAGGUCCAUGCAACUCGCAAAAGAACCAUUAGAGACCUUGGUAGCCUCAAGAAAGAAAAUGGCUAUAAAACAGAUACACAACAAAUGGUUCUAUAUACUUGGUCAUGCAAACCUACUAAGCCUUCCACCAUCUGCCUGUUCCCAGAAGGAUAAGUCAUCUCUCACCCAUAGAAACUUAGGAACGCAAAAUGAUGACAAAGUAAGCAAUCACUCAAAAUAAAGUAGAAUUUACAAAAAAGUUCCAUAUCCAGACAGGAAAAAAAUUAUCAAAAAAAAGAAAAGAAUAUAACAUAUAAAUGCAUAUGGUCAUAUUGCUUUUGGGUUGAAAGUUAUCAAAUAGGACAAAAUCUCUUGUUAAAGCUACCUUAUUAUGAAAAUAUUGCAAUAGACUUGAUUCUAGGUAACAAACCAAUUAUUAAAAACCAAAAAGAACAGGCGUAUACUAAACCUGGAGCUUCUGCUCUCCUCCACACAACUCAAAAACCAAAUACUUCUUAAUCUAGUUCUCUGCAUGCAUUACUGAAGGGAAGUUUGAAAUGGUUUGUCUGAAAAAAUUACAUUAAAAGAAAAAUUAGUUCACUUGAAGAUAGCUAAUUUGCGCACACACCUAAAAAAAAUAUCUCCAGAGAACAAAAUUACAUCAACAGAAAAAUUAUUCCACUUGAAGAUAGUUAAUUUUUGUGUUCGCGCACACAAAAAUUAUUCAGAAGUUACUACUAAAUACCACUAACCCUUGUGUAUUUCAAUUGGGUUCAUGUGUCAAUACUUGGCGCACUUAGCGCAGAUACUCAGCCCACUGCAUUGAGUUACACAAUGACUAGGAUAAGCUGAAUCAGACAAGGAGACUGACUACAUUGCAAAAUGAGUGAGAAACUAACAGUUACCCCUCUAGCAAAGCAAUCUAUUUUAUGGAUUAAAGAUUUUGGGUUAAAUUUUAUUAUUUGAAAAUAAAAUGUGAACCAAUUGAGCUUCAAAAUAACAAGAAUAACAAUAAUAUAACAGAGAGAGAGAGAGAGGGAGAGAGAUUCGUCCAUUAUAUUUGUAAAAGGACAAGGCAUGAAGGGCCACUGUUUGGCGCCACCAUAAAAUGCUCGGACUGAAGGUGUGAGAAAGUAGGUUCAAGUCUACCACUGUCACAGCAUUCAAGGGUAGGCACAUGUCCAGUAAGUAAACCCUUGCAGCACCCACAAUUAUCAUAUGUUUAUGCUUGUAUUAUUAAGAGAAACCAGAACCACCAACAUAAGAGUUAAGGAGAGGGAUUACGAGAGACGAUAGUAAUGGCAUAGGAAGUAGUCGCCCGGACCUUGAAUAUAUGGUAUUAAAUCUACAACAUCGAUGCAUUGUCCCGAGAAGGAUAGAUAUUGUGGUGUUGGCUUCCUUCCUCUUCGUCCUUAUCCCACACAAUCUCUGCUCCAACUUCAUUUACCUGAUAAAGCUCGGUUACAUGUGCGCAGACUUUCAUUUCAUCACCCCCUUCCAUCAGGUACUGAUGCCCAAUCUUCCAGUGGCUUAACCGUAACCAAUCUUGGUUGCCAUCUGGAAAGCAUUUCCAGGUUGGAUUGUAGUCCCACAAAAGACCCUUGGACAUGUUUGUGAUAAUGAUAUCAUCCUAGCCCCAAUCAUCAUAAUAACUAUACAAAGCAGCAUAGUCAUCUUCUGAAUUUGUAAACCUACCAUCACUAAAAAUGGAAAGCCAACGACGUUCCCAGUCUAAAUAACCUUCAUCACUGGCAUAUGCAUAGAGCACGUGUACUUUCAAGGCUCGGAUCUUGAGAUUACUAUCUGAAGGCGCAUAAAAUUCUAUAAUGGACCCACUUUUCUUAUAAUUGCUGCACCAACUUGGCACCAAGCUCCUAGGAAUAAAUAAGCUGUAUAUACCAAAUUCAGACACUCCCUGUGCCAUGGAAUUUAUAAUAUCAGAACUAUCAAUUCCCAAUACAUAGUAUUUGGGUAAACAUCUAAAUAUAUAGACACAGUCAAAAGAGAACCUGAAUUGCGCUCGUCAUUGCUUCACAUGAAAGGUGGUUGAAGAACCUCAUUUGGUGGCUUCCCAUGGAUACUAAGUGAUCAGCUAAGCACAAGUUUUCAAUAAUUUCUAAACCAAUAUUUCCAAUGGGCUUUAACUUGAACAUAUGCUCAGCUUCAACUAGAUUGUCACAACCAAAUAAUCUCAAAUCUAGUUAUGUACAUAGGUUAGGAAGAUUUGUUAUCAUCUCCAGUGAGCUACAAUAAGCUAAAUCCAACAAACCUAAACUCAUUGGCAGUUCAGGCAGGGAUUGGAUUCUUUGGCAACCAUAUAAUGAAAGUGACUUUAGAUUUAUAAGAAAUUUGAUGCUCUCUGGUAGGCUAGGAAUUGGAUUCAUACUCAGAUCCAAGUCCUGCAACGAGGAUAAGCUACCAAGACUUCUAGCAAGAUCGUCAUUUGACAAAUUGCAGUUUGCAAGACUUAAGGUUACUAAUGAGCGUGGUAAAGUAGCCAAUGAACAACAGAUGGAUUCUGGACUUUUUCUUGUAUUCAAUACAAAAGGCUUGAAGAGAAAACUCCAUGAAUCAACCCAAAAAAGGAGUACUCGUUCUGUUUAUUGUAAUUCCAUCUGCUUGGCGAACAGUCAAAGAUUUCAUCUUUUCUCCUCUGCUGAUAGAUCAAGCUUUGAGCAACCGGAUAUAUUGAGUUUCACAAGAGACAUUAAACAAUGAAUUUCUCUUGGAAGAUUCUUAAGAUUUUUGCAUCCUUUCAGAUUCAAGGAAACAAGCUCCUUUAAUUCCCCUAUUGAUUCAUGAACCUCAACCAUGUGUACACAAUCCUCAAGGAUCAAAUCUUCAAGAUUUGGGAAUACGGUGAAGUUGGGGAUACAAGUGAGGCCAUGGCAAUGACUAAGAUUGAGAAUUUUCAAUGUCGGCAACUGUCAUGAAAGAAGGAAAGCAAUUUAAAGAAUUCAUAUGUUAUUUAAUCCUCAAAGCAGAGACCAUUAAAUGUAAAAGGAGGAAAAUUUAAAUCGUAUCUUGGCUCCCUUCCAAACAUGUUCCAACUUGCUAUGGCUCAAGUUAAGAGCAUGAAUUGUUGGAGUAAGUUUUCCACUCAUUGUUGUGAGUGUACGGAUAUGAAUUGUCACUAUUAGCAUUCAAGCAUCUUUGAGUAACAUUGACAUAUUUUUGAACAAAUUCGAGAAACUCAUGAGCACAAUAACAUUCAGUCACUAAGUGGCUAUGACUGAAACAUAUAGGACAUGGCUCAUUG